GGGAAGAUGGCUCAGUGGUAGAGCGCUUGCCUUGUGUGCAUGAGGCCUGGGUUCUAUUCCUCUCCA
rfam:Dipodomys ordii contig_32869, whole genome shotgun sequence.